CGUGUGUUGAAGCAUAAAAGGGUCAAAUUCACUGCACAUUUAACUCACUGAUGCAUAUGACAGCAGCAUGUCUCUAAUGCUGAAAGUCUCACAGAGUGUGUCUCUCUUCAGCUCCAGUACAUAAUCUCCAAAUGAAACGCUGCCCUCUGCUGGCCAGUAACGCACGCACUUCUCCUGGAGUGGGAGUUGUCCGACAUGACAUGGAAUUGUGGAAGACUCAGUCAGCAUGACAAUAGAGUGGCACUUCCACUCCCAUACCAUGCGCCAGAAGUCCUGCACAGUGUGAGCCAAAGGUGCCUGAGUAGCUAUAAAAUAAUCCUUCUUCCUAUAACCCUGCAAAGGUAAUGCUCUAAAAGUGCCUGGUAAAUGAAUGAAUACUGCAUCUGUGGGCGAGAGAGAAGAAAUCAGUGGCCAGUCUUUGCUGAAAUGAGUCAAAUACAGAAGAAGGACUGCACAAAGUCCUUUACGUCUGUU